rnacentral:rRNA from 1 species
UACGUAGGUGACAAGCGUUGUCCGGAUUUACUGGGCGUAAAGCGUGCGCAGGCGGUUCUCCAAGUCCGUUGUGAAAGCCCCGGGCUCAACCUGGGAAUGGCAGUGGAAACUAGGGGACUUGAAUCUGGCAGAGGGGGGUGGAAUUCCACGUGUAGCAGUGAAAUGCGUAGAGAUGUGGAGGAACACCGAUGGCGAAGGCAGCCCCCUGGGCUGAGAUUGACGCUCAGGCACGAAAGCGUGGGGAGCAAACAGG